UUUGAAACAAAAGUACAAGCUAAAUUUAGCUUUAAGAAAACACAAUAACUUGAUGACAUGCAUACUAUUUUAUUCUGCUUCUUCUUUAAGCCCCACUCUUCAAUUAGAUUGGAUCUUAAUAAUAUGUUCCAAAGAUUUAUUUCCACGUAAUUCCCCUUAACUAAAUCCUAGGAUUAGAAUUUUAUUUCGAAGUGUUAAGCAACUAAUUAAAGAGAAGAUUAUUUAUUUUGUUCCAGAAGUUCUAUCUUCUAUUAAAUUAUUUUAUCUUACAAAAUAAUUUACACUAGCCCAAACUAAACAUGUAUCAAUUAUAAUUAAUGAACUAACUGGGCCAAAUAAUAUCUUAUGUGGAAGCUAGCCCAAAGAUUAGAUAUUCGAAAAUGGGUUCAAGGAAUGUUUUCCUCCACUGGAUCAAGGGAAGAUUAAAUGGGAAUUAGCCCAAUGGCCCAAUCUAAUAUACACUCACACCAAGUCAUCUUCUCCCCCAUUCCUACCCUAACUAGAUGAGAGCAGCCCCCCUCCAUCUCUCUCUUAAAUGAAGUCCACCACCGCCGCCUCCGGCGGUGUUUCCUCAACUCUGCUCCGUCAUCAUUCUAUCCUUCCUCAACUCUCUCUAUCUCUUCUCUAUUCACCGUACCGCCGCCGCCACCGCCGCUACUGUAUGCGCGGCGGCUCGCCGUCGCGGCCCUCCACCUCUCUCUCUCUCGGUAUCCCCUCCAUCUCCGAUCGCCGCUGCCACGCACCGCCUCAGUCCUCUCUCUUUCUCCAUCCAUCCAUCCGUCUCUCUCCUCUCUCUCCUCUCUCCCUCUCGGAUCUACUCAUACCGCCGCCGUCCCCUCUUUCUCUCCAGAUUCGCCGCCGUCAUCCAAUCCGUCGCUCUUCCAAACUCGCCCAGCCACCGCCGCCGUCAGCAGCAUCCAGCCACCGCCGCAGUCAAUGCACAGAGCCAUCGCCUGUCGGCUUCUCCGCCGGUUCGUGCAGUUGUCCGAACUCACCCCGAACAGCUCCGAACAGCCCCGAAGAGUCCCGCUAAACGGGAGAGAAACGGAUUGUGCAACAAAUAUUAUAGAGGAAGAGGAUUUGGUUGGGAGGUGGGGGUGAGUAAAAGAAAUUGAUUGUGCAUCUAUAUGCGUACUCACCAAGGCAGUGAAAGUGACGGUGUAGCAAGUUAUUCUUAUCUCAAAUUAUAGAUGGAGUGAAAGUGAUUGUGUAGCAAGUUGCCUACAUUCCUAUCUAUAAUUAAACGCAGCAUUUAAUGCACUGCUCUUUUUAUUUUAUUUUAUUUUAUUUGUUUAUUUUGGUGUAGGAAAGAACCUGGUUCAAGCUCGUGGCUGCCCGCGUUGAAAUACCCGAUUUGCUUAGAAUGUAGGAUGUAUUAAAUUUUGCUGGAUGUAUUGGAUAUUAAAAUUUUAAUUUUGGGAUCUUAUUUAUUUAUUCAUUUAAAUGUAUUAUAUUCA